UGUAUGUGUAUGUGUGUGUAUUUCUUUAAAUGAGUUGUCCGUUACAUGCAUCUAACUGAAGGAUGUUCUUACCCCAUAACUUCCACCACUGUGAUGCCUUCUGUUAUAUAAAUAACAACCCUUCAAUCCCAACUAUAAAAGAGUUGGGGAAGGAAACUCCAUUUGGGCAACUUAUCUCUUUUCACUGUGUGCUUGAAACACUUGAAGUCCAGUCACCAACAGCAGCUGACAUAACACUACCAGUCACUGAAGUGUGCUCUCACAAGGCUACAAGCGUGUGAGAAAAAUUUUGAUUCCAUCAUCUCUUCCAUUAUUUAUCUUUUCCGGG